rnacentral:rRNA from 1 species
UACGUGGGGUGCAAGCGUUAUCCGGAUUUAUUGGGCGUAAAGAGUUCGUAGGCGGUUUGCCAAGUUUCGUUUGAAAGCCCGAGGCUUAACCUCGGAUCCGGACGAAAAACUGGUAGACUAGAGUCGAUUAGGGGGUACUGGAAUUGUUGGUGUAGCAGUGAAAUGCGUUGAUAUCAACAAGAACACCAAGGGCGAAGGCAGGUACCUGGGAUACGACUGACGCUGAGGAACGAAAGCUAGGGGAGCGAAA